rnacentral:snoRNA from 14 species
UAGCUAUUAUGAAAAUUGCGCAUAAAUGAUGGAUUUGGGUCCAUCAGAAUCGUUUGACAUAAAGACGGGAUAGUUGAGCAUCUAAGCUU